GAUGAACGCUGGCGGCGUGCCUAAUACAUGCAAGUCGAGCGAACAGACGAGGAGCUUGCUCCUCUGACGUUAGCGGCGGACGGGUGAGUAACACGUGGAUAACCUACCUAUAAGGCUGGGAUAACUUCGGGAAACCGGAGCUAAUACCGGAUAAUAUAUUGAACCGCAUGGUUCAAUAGUGGAAGACGGUUUUGCUGUCACUUAUAGAUGGAUCCGCGCCGCAUUAGCUAGUUGGUAAGGUAACGGCUUACCAAGGCAACGAUGCGUAGCCGACCUGAGAGGGUGAUCGGCCACACUGGAACUGAGACACGGUCCAGACUCCUACGGGAGGCAGCAGUAGGGAAUCUUCCGCAAUGGGCGAAAGCCUGACGGAGCAACGCCGCGUGAGUGAUGAAGGUCUUCGGAUCGUAAAACUCUGUUAUUAGGGAAGAACAAAUGUGUAAGUAACUAUGCACGUCUUGACGGUACCUAAUCAGAAAGCCACGGCUAACUACGUG
rnacentral:rRNA from 1 species